rnacentral:rRNA from 1 species
GAGUUUGAUCAUGGCUCAGAUUGAACGCUGGCGGCAUGCCUUACACAUGCAAGUCGAACGGCAGCACGGGAGCUUGCUCCUGGUGGCGAGUGGCGAACGGGUGAGUAAUGCAUCGGAACGUAUCCUGGAGUGGGGGAUAACGUAGCGAAAGUUACGCUAAUACCGCAUAUUCUGUGAGCAGGAAAGCGGGGGACCUUCGGGCCUCGCGCUCUUGGAGCGGCCGAUGUCGGAUUAGCUAGUUGGUGAGGUAAAGGCUCACCAAGGCGACGAUCCGUAGCAGGUCUGAGAGGAUGAUCUGCCACACUGGAACUGAGACACGGUCCAGACUCCUACGGGAGGCAGCAGUGGGAAUUUUGGACAAUGGGGGCAACCCUGAUCCAGCCAUGCCGCGUGAGUGAAGAA